ensembl:lncRNA
GAGGCUACUCCCAAGCCAAGAGGACACAAGCAGUGACCUGGGUGACCGCCAAGCCCCCCGAAGUUCUAUCACGAGUAAACAGGGAGGCCCCUGAGUGUGCUGACCAGGACGCUCCCUCCAGUCGAUUUCCAGCUGGUCCCAAUGGCCGAAGUUCUUAACCUGGAGGUUGCUUUUAAGUCACUUUGGACUUCUACUGCUGCUCAGGCUUCAGUACCCCCCGAAAAAUUUAAACCUGGCUCGCUCCUCCCUAUUUUUCAUAGGAUGAGUCUCUCCUUCCCCUCCAGCGAAAGAACCCACUAAUUCACGACAGAAACUGUCUCGUGGAAGCUAAUGCUCACAUAGGGCCCACCGACUGGUCUUUACACCUUAAUCUUUUCCCCAGGAACCCCCCAACCAGUUCUUCCAGAAGCAAUCAUCUCCCUAUGUUCCUUGCAGCGAAGCCUCCUAGAUAAGAAAGAGACAGAAUUAGGGUUAAGGGGUUUAGGAAAGCAGAAAAGAAGAAGCCGAGGUGAUGAAAAGAGAGAUGAGCGAAGGAAGGGGUAAGAAAUCUUCGAAACAUUCUCUUUACCCAUCCCAGAGAAACUGAACAUGGAAGAGAUGGAUCUGAGCUCGAAAGAGCGCAGGUGUCGGUUGAUGCCGGACUUCUGCAGGACUGCGACUACCACUCGGCUUCCCGAGCUCCGAACUGAACGAGCUCGAAUAGUUUGGAGGCACCUGGGGUUCGUCCAGAGAGUCUAGGUGAAGGCUCCUCUUUCGCCCAGGAAAUCAGUGGAGGAAGGGAAAGCCUGCUAGUCCAAGAGCUUUGUAGACAAGGGGUCUCCGGCUGCGGAGAGAGUUUGAAAAGCAGGACACAUUCAAAAGGAGAUCCGAGCCUUGGGCUCCUACCUAGCCGGGAUGAGAUGGGCAAGGGGAAAGAGGCCAGGGAGAGGGGAUGAAAAUACGCGUAUUUCAAAAAUGCACACCCCUGCACACGCGCACACACAGAGCGCCUGCAUACACUGCUCCGCGAACUCGCGAACGCCAAACCAAAAGAAGCUCGUUUGCUGGUGGUUUCGCGUCCGGCAGCGGAGAGCCAGGGAGACGCGCCAAGCCGCAUGCUGUGCCGGGUCUGGGCCUCCAGGGGGAGCUGCAGCUCUUCCACCCGCCAGCCCGCCCGCUGAGUCUCGGGGUCGAACAGUCAGUCCCGCUUUACCCUAACCCUAGCUCUAGUGUCCACUCUUUCGCCCCAUCCCUGGCGGAUAAAUUGGCUCUUAAUUUCUCUCCCAACUUCAUCCCCAGGGUACCCCUAUUUGAAAUCUGAGAGUCUUACCCCGAACUUCGCUGCCUUCCACUCCGUGUACCAACCCCCUCAUCUUUCCUCGUACUGUACCUCUCCUCAAACUGGGUUAGUUCAAAUGGGGGGAGAGGGCGUUUGGAGGGGUGAAGAACAGCCCCCCCAAGGCCACACUUGGAGCUCAAAAAUAAAGCCGUGAACACAAGCAUGGUGUUUUCCAAGAAAACUCAAAGCCGGAGCUGGGGUGGGAAAAAGGCUGGAGACAAAAGGGCCAAAGUUGAGAGGCGAAGGGCAGAAAUCCCUG